AUUGAACGCUGGCGGCAGGCCUAACACAUGCAAGUCGAGCGAGCGGCGGACGGGUGAGUAAUGUAUGGGGACUGCCCGAUAGAGGGGGAUAACUACUGGAAACGGUGGCUAAUACCGCAUACUAUCGGAUAACCCAUAUGGGAUUAGCUAGUAGGUGGGGUAAAGGCUAACCUAGGCGACGAUCUCUAGCUGGUCUGAGAGGAGGAUCAGCCACACGGGGACUGAGAACAGGCCCAUCACCCUACGGAGGCAGCAGUGGUGAAUAUUGCACAAUGGGCGAAAGCCGGAUGAAGCCAUGCCGCGUGUAGGAAGAAGGCCUUAGGGUUGUAAAGUACUUUCAGCGGGGAGGCGUUACCCGCAGAAGAAGCACCGGCUAACUCCGUGCCAGCAGCCGCGGUAAUUC
rnacentral:rRNA from 1 species